UGACAUUUUGUUUGACAGUUUGCCAGUGGAGUGGUCAUCGAACUGUCGAUUUGUGUCGCUUUCUUUCAGUAUUUUUGCCCUAAUAUAGCAAAUCUAUUUUUAGUUUAGACUGAUUCAAAGCAUAAAAUAAUGGCAAUUUUACAUAGGGCCCUAUUUACUUGGUUCAUUUUCCUAGUCUUUUUAAUAUUACUAUGCCUACGUUUAGAAUCUCGGACUCACUGGAAUUGGUUUAUUGUUUUCAUACCUAUGUGGGUUUACGAUAGUAUUUUACUGAUUUACGUAUUAUUUCAUAUGAUCUCACACUGUAGGAAUGGUAUAGAACGAUUCAGAGGAACUAUUAAUAAGAACGUGUGGUAUAUAGCUGCAAUAGGUUUGAAAAUGGCAGCACAAAUAAUAAUAUGCAUCAAAUUGGAGUACACCAGAGUGAAUUUACCAAUAUACGUUGUCAUGACUCCUAUAUGGAUGUUACUGCCAGUUCUCUGUGUAGAAGUAUUUAUGCAUUUAAUAAAGCAUUCAAGUGGUAGUAGUAGAUACUAAAAUGUACCUAUUUUGGACUAUAAUAAACUCAACUGAAGGUGAAGCAUGUGACAAGGUGUGGUGUAGAUAAUUUUAAACUUGGCACACAUUCAUUGAGACUGAGUAUGUUUGCACAUGUCAAAUCAUUUGUGCCGGUGUUAGAUAUUUGGUGAUAUAACAAUUUCGCUGAAGGUUUUACUGGAAAUAUAAUUUUCAAGAUGCUUUCCUUGGGUGAUAGAGUCCCUGAGAUCAAACAGUUGACUGUGACAAAAGUGCCGGCCGGUAGUACAGCUGUGCUGAAUUGUCACAGCAAUGAUAUGGACCACAAUUUCAUGUUUUGGCUGUUCAAUGGUACUGAUGUGAUUGGCCCCGGUAACGUGUAUAAUGAACAGAAAUAUAAAUACGAGGUGCUCUCUGGAAAACUUCAUAUUCAUGAUGUAUCUGCAAGGGAAUCUGGUAACUACCAUUGCAUAUCAAAGAAACUGAACGGUGCAGGAUACACAGUGGGACAAGUGGAUAUGAUAGUCACUGGCUCAGCAUUUACUUCAAUAGAUGCUGUGAAAGUGGUAGCAAUUGUGCUGUCUAUCAUUGUGAUCAUAGGCUGUGCAGUGCUGUAUUACAAUUUGAGGAAGGACUGGAAAAGAUAUGAAGGCAGGGGAGUUAUACCAGUGGAUGAAGUUGAGGAUGAUGAAGGCGAUGGAGAUGAGAUAUACAACCGCACUACCACCCCAGCUCAGGCAAGGCAACUGAGCCAACCAGCCCCAGGCCCCAGUAGGAACCAAUCAUCUGAACAUCUCUUAUAUGGAAUAGACAAUCAGGGAUUAGACACAGAUUUCAAUUCAGUCUUCGAAAAUAUACAAAUAAAGUCACCACAAGCAAGUCUGAUUUAACAUAGCAAACUACAAUAUUUGUGAUAAAAUAAUCAGUAGUAAUAGUUUAGAAAAUAUGCAAUAUAAGAGUUUAAUAUUCUCUGUAAGGAAAUUCUCAUUUGUAAAUAUUUAAGAUGUAAUCUAGUAGUAAGAUUAUACUGUUAAAUAAAAUGUUUUUAUUUUAGUUUA